ACCACGCCUGGCCUAAUUUGACUUUUAUCUCUGUGAUUGGGACAUUAAAAUGAAUAUUAUUGGCAGUAUCUAUCAGCUUACAGAAUAAUACCUUUUCCUUCCUACCAUCAGUUUUUCAAUUCCCCCCACAUUCAAAACCUGAUGUGGAACCCACAUCUUAUCCUAGACUUAACUGAGAACUUCAUGUUAAGAGAUCUUUUGAGUCCUGUGUUGGUCUUUUCUCUAGCAGAUAUUAGUUGGGCUUGUUCUAAACUGUCAGAGAGGUUCAAAUAAUGUGGCAGAAAGACAUCAGUGUUUGUUUCUUCUUCUUUGCUACCAGAUACAUACACUGAGGCACCUUUAUAUCCUGUAUAGUACCUUAGGCAGUAGAAAGCCCCAUGUUAACCUUCCCUAGAGCAGUGGGCACCCAGUUGUGGUUGGCCCCUUGAGUGAUCUAUUUUCCAUGAUAAUGAAAAUCUCCCAAGCUACUUGCAUCUCUUCCUCAAGAUUUAAAAAUAUUUUCUAAUUCUACCUCACAGGAAACCUUUGGAGAUAAUUCUCGAGAUCUCAAGUAGGUUAGUUAGACUGAGAGCCAAAUCUUGUUCGUGACUCAUCACUGUCCAUGUGUAAAAGUGGGGCUUUGUGCUUGCUUCGGCUGCACAUAUCCUAAAAUUGGAACAAUACAGAGAAAAUUAGCAUGGCCCCUGCAUAGGGACGCUGCACAAAUUUUUGAAGCAUUCCAUAUUUUGCACAGUCACUGGAAGGUCAUUUGACUAUUUGCUCACUAACUCUAAGGAAACAGUGUGAAUCAAAGCAAAAUGGGUGCCAUCUAAAUAUUGAAAUUGUGAUUUUCGCUACAAAAAUAUUCAUGUAAGGUGGCCUAUGAGAUGUCCCCGGAGCUGAAUAAUGUGUAGAGUGUUGUGUGCAAAAUAUAUCGUUAGUAUGUGUCUCAAAAAUUAGAGAAUGAAUUUGCAACUUCUUCAUGGAACCUAAAACAAAUAAAAAUAGGAUUUUGGUCUCCCAUGUCAGCUGGAGAUGAACAUGGAUAUGAAGCAUUAUCCUAACAAACAUCUGCGGGUUCAGAGUAAUUUGCCAAUUAUUUUCUGACUAUAAGGAAAAACAGAUGCCAAAAAACUGUUCUGAAAACAGCAAUCCAGAGCAAGACUUAAAGCUGACAUCAGAGGAAGAGCCACAAAGGCUUAAAGGAAGUGAAAAUAGCCAGCAUGAGG